AAGGCUUGACAUCCCCUUGACCAGUGCAGAGAUGUACUCUUCUCUUCGGAGACAAAGGUGACAGGUGGUGCAUGGUUGUCGUCAGCUCGUGUCGUGAGAUGUUGGGUUAAGUCCCGCAACGAGCGCAACCCUUAUCCUUAGUUGCCAGCAGGUAAAGCUGGGCACUCUAAGGAGACUGCCGAUGAUAAAUCGGAGGAAGGUGGGGAUGACGUCAAAUCAUCAUGCCCCUUAUGUCUUGGGCUACACACGUGCUACAAUGGUCGGUACAAAGGGAAGCGAAGUAGAGAUAUGGAGCAAAUCCCAAUAAACCGAUCCCAGUUCGGAUUGUAGGCUGAAACUCGCCUACAUGAAGUUGGAGUUACUAGUAAUCGCGAAUCAGAAUGUCGCGGUGAAUGCGUUCCCGGGUCUUGUACACACG
rnacentral:rRNA from 1 species